GACGUACGCUGGCGGCGUGCUUAACACAUGCAAGUCGAGCGGAAAGGCCCUUCGGGGUACUCGAGCGGCGAACGGGUGAGUAACACGUGAGUAAUCUGCCCUUGGCUUUGGGAUAACUACCGGAAACGGUGGCUAAUACCGGAUACGACAACCGUCUGCAUGGGCUGGUUGUGGAAAGUUUUUUCGGCCAGGGAUGUGCUCGCGGCCUAUCAGCUUGUUGGUGGGGUAAUGGCCUACCAAGGCUUCGACGGGUAGCCGGCCUGAGAGGGUGACCGGCCACACUGGGACUGAGACACGGCCCAGACUCCUACGGGAGGCAGCAGUGGGGAAUAUUGGACAAUGGGCGGAAGCCUGAUCCAGCAACGCCGCGUGAGGGAUGACGGCCUUCGGGUUGUAAACCUCUUUCAGUACCGACGAAGCGCCGAUGAUGGUGGUGACGGUAGGUACAGAAGAAGCACCGGCCAACUACGUG
rnacentral:rRNA from 1 species